ensembl:lncRNA
AAUCUCAACCCCUCUGGAUUUCUACUUACACAGACAAAGGCACACAGACUGUGCUUUUUCAGAGGAAAGAUAACUUUUUUUGGUUUCUUCCAAAUAAUCACUUAGUCCAGGCUCUUGCCCAGCUUGAGGUGAGAAUAUUCCACCGAAGUGAGCAACUUCGGAGACUGAACACAGCUUUCUGCCAGAGCAGUUGUUCUGCUCUCAUUUUAUGGACACGGUGACUCAUGUACCUGAUCAAAUUUCCCUCUGUGCAGGCUGCUGGAAAAAUUCAGGACCAAACUGGGCCUCUCUCCUUAAAAAGUAUGAGGACUUCCUUGUGCGCUUUUCCUGUCCCUUUCGUGGCUCCAUUUCAUCGUCCAUCCUGUGCUUCAGCUUCCUCACUGCCUCAAAUCUAAGUUAUUCAGAAAGAUUCCCAGUGGAUACCCAAGGACAUCAGUGUCUCGUGCUACCCACACACCUGAAACUUUCCUCCUGGCCAUCAUUGGAACUGAUACAAAUCCAUGGAUACAAUCAUACAUCCUACAUUUCAUAAUUUCAAAACCCUUCUACUUCCAGAAUCUCACUCAUCUCAAUGAUAAUCUUGUAAGAUAAGUAUAAAACCUGCAUUUUGCAAGAGAAGAAAUGGAGACUUUUAAGGUCAUCAAAAGACUUGUCAGAAAGAAAAAUGGAGUGAGAGCUCAGAUCUUCUAAACCUUGUUUGGUUGUUCUUUCCACUCUAGAUUUUAUUUUCUCAUGACUGUCACGGGAGUUUGGUAUACACCCGCUGUUGAUAAAAACAGGAGAGGUUGAACUCUCCUCCACCCACAGCCAUUCAUACAGGCACGUUCUUUUCCAGCCCCAGUCUCAAGAGUCAAUCUAGAAAAUGCACAAUUUAACUGACACGAUGGACGUGAGUCUGGGUGAACUCCGGGAGUUGGUGAUGGACAGGAAGGCCUGGCGUGCUGCGAUUCAUGGGGUCGCAAAGAGUCGGACACAACUGAGCGACUGAACUGAAGUGAACCGAAGUGAGUGCAAACACAGUUGUGCCCAGAAGGCCGGGAAACCUGAAUGCCAUACGGGUGCAAUGUUUUGUCAGUGUAGAUUCACAAGGCUUUUUUGUAAGAUAAAAAGCAAACCCUGGAUCCCACUAUUAAGAGUUCUCAUGGAUUAAUGAUUCUUUAUCAGUAUGUAAUGUUGAUAGAAUGUCUUUUUCCUAUCACAACUUUCCAGAGUACAGGACCCGAUAUAUUCAACCUUGCCUUGGCUCAUCCCUAAAUUCAGUGCCAGCCCGAGGAUGCCCCAACUCCUCUGGAGUUGGGACAGGAGCCUGGUACCAGAAAAGCUGACAUCAGAGCUACUCUGAGGAGAACAGGACCUCCUGCCCUGAGAUGAAUCCCUCAAACACCCACUCUUCAGGUAAGGCGCUUGCCAGGUAAGGCACCAAGGCAUCUUUAUACUUAAAAAAAAAAAAAAAACACGCACCUUUUACAUUUUACAGUGACCAAACACUCUGAGUUGUUUACCAUGGAGAAAAAGCAGAAGAAAGGAGAAAA